AUCCGCCGCCUGUGAGGGCGGAAAUGACGUGAACAAUUGUAUUUUUUUAAGGCUGAGAAGGUCGCAAGGUACGACGGGAAUUGUAGUUCUCGGUAGGCGCCGGAGACAUACAGUCGGCUCGUCUGAAACCUGGGAGUGAUGAGGCUCUGGCAAAAUUUACUCUAAAGCUCGUUCUCGGCUGUUGGCAAAAAAUAAACCUUUCUAGUCACUUUUCCGUGAAAAUCUUAAGAAGAGCAGACACCUUUUUCAGACUCUUUUCAGUGGGGUUAUAUAAAGAACCUGUUUAUAAGGUUCUAAGCAAAACUGUUAGAAGCGUUAAGUGCCUAUAAAGUUCCAAGAUUUCAAGCCUACGGGAAUGGGACCACAGACAAAGUGAAGUAAUGAGGAGAAGCUAAGUUUGUAGAGAGGAUGAUGCCUCUGUUUGAGUUUAAGGUACCAGCUGGGAAGACAUCCUGAGGAUAAGGAGACUGGCUGGCCAAUUUGGAAAUAGCCGACUGUGCAGAGAUCAGAGCCAAACUGCCAAUCAAGUGUGAAGAUAGAAUAAAGAUACUUCCGAAAGCAAGGCCUCAAAUCAUUUGCCUCUGAUGCAUCCUUUCUUAGAAAUUUACUAUGGAAUUUUCACCAAAACAAAGAUACAAACCAGGACCAUAGAGUGAACUCCUAAAUCCUUUCAACGAACAAGCUCGCCCCCAUUCCCUGCCUGUUCCAUCACAUCACAUCUUGUUCCUCCUCUUUGGUAUGCCGAUCACAAGAGUGGGUGAAAGGUGAUGGAGUCUGAAAAUUUCAGCCAUUUUAAACAGAAUCCCGGGAAAGAGUAACUGUGGAACAUGAACCAAGUGACUGGGGCAAAUCUGAGGAAAGGAGGCAGCUUUACCAAAUUUAAUUUAAAAAGAAAUAGGACACAUAAAAACAAUCAGAAAGAUGAAAAAGGAUUAACCCAGGCUGUCUAAAAAUACUUUAUCCU